rnacentral:tRNA from 4 species
GCGGGUGUAGCUCAAUGGCAGAGCGAGAGCUUCCCAAGCUCCAGACGAGGGUUCGAUUCCCUUCACCCGCUCCA